GCCCAAAGUAGCUUAAAUACAAAGCACCGGUCUUGUAAACCAGACAUGAGUGUUAAAUACUCCUUGGGC
rnacentral:tRNA from 1 species